CGCUUACUCCUUAGGCCUGGCUUCUUUUUACCUUAAUGCUAAUUUGGAUAAGAAUGUUAGUUAAAGCUACAGUAAAUACGUCAAGUUUCAUUUCCUUAGCAGCUAAGCAUGCUGUAGUUGCAGCAAAGAAAGGAAAUGGCAUGCCAAGUGCCAUGGCUCCCACAGCCUCCUUGAACAGUCCUGUGUUGAGAAAGUACCCAGAACCCAUGUCAGAGCAGCUACUGGAAAUUCUGGCUGCUAAAGAUCAGCCAAAAAGAACUUCAGCUUUCCACUGUGAAGGAAUUACGUGGAUUUCUCCUUUUAAUCUGAAGGAACUCCUUAAAUAGAAAACCAAAUAACCCCAAGCCUCUUCAGUUGCAGGAAACACUAGUGUGGAAUGCCAAAAACAGAYACAGCAAUGCAUGUUGGCUGCAGUAUAAAUCCAGCUGUAGAUAUGGGACAGGUUUGUAUCAAACUGUUAAGGCCUGGCUGUAUUUUACAUUUGAAUUACCAA
rnacentral:lncRNA from 1 species